rnacentral:tRNA from 1 species
CCUCUCAUGGCGUAGUGGUUAACGCGCCCCAACUAGAGAUCGGGGAUUCGUGAGUUCGAUUCUCACUUAGAAGA